rnacentral:rRNA from 1 species
AGAGUUUGAUCCUGGCUCAGAACGAACGCUGGCGGCGCGUUUUAAGCAUGCAAGUCGAACGGUAUACAUAGCUUGCUAUGUAGAGAUUGGCGAACGGGUGAGUAACACGUAGGUAAUCUGCCUCUGGAUGGGGGAUAGACCACGGAAACGUGGCGUAAUACCGCAUGAGCUCUAUACUUAUAACGAGUGUAGAGGAAAGAUGCAAUUGUAUCGUCUGGAGAUGAGCCUGCGGUCCAUUAGCUUGUUGGCAGGGUAAUGGCCUACCAAGGCGACGAUGGAUAGCCGGCCUGAGAGGGUGAACGGCCACACUGGGACUGAGACACGGCCCAGACUCCUACGGGAGGCAGCAGCUAAGAAUCUUCCGCAAUGGGCGAAAGCCUGACGGAGCGACGCCGCGUGGACGAUGAAGGCCGAAAGGUUGUAAAGUCCUUUUCUUAGGGAAGAAUAAGGCGAAGAAUGGAAUGCUUCGCUGAUGACAUUAACUGAGGAAUAAGCCCCGGCCAAUUACGUGCCAGCAGCCGCGGUAAUACGUAUGGGGCGAGCGUUGUUCGGAAUUAUUGGGCGUAAAGGGCGUGUAGGCGGUUUUAUAAGCCUGGUGUGAAAUCCCACAGCUCAACUGUGGAUCCGCGCUGGGAACUGUAAGACUAGAGUUUAGGAGGGGAAGCUGGAAUUCCUGGUGUAGGGGUGAAAUCUGUAGAUAUCAGGAAGAACACCGAUGGCGAAGGCAAGCUUCUAGCCAUAGACUGACGCUGAGGCGCGAAAGCGUGGGGAGCGAACAGGAUUAGAUACCCUGGUAGUCCACGCUGUAAACGAUGUGCACUGGGUGUAGGAGACGUUGAGUUUUCUGUGCCGUAGCUAACGCGAUAAGUGCACCGCCUGGGGAGUAUGCUCGCAAGGGUGAAACUCAAAGGAAUUGACGGGGGCCCGCACAAGCGGUGGAGCAUGUGGUUUAAUUCGAUACGCGAGGAACCUUACCAGGGCUUGACAUGUACUUGAAGGCUUAAGAGAUUAAGUCGACCUUUAGGGGACAGGUACACAGGUGCUGCAUGGCUGUCGUCAGCUCGUGUCGUGAGAUGUUGGGUUAAGUCCCGCAACGAGCGCAACCCUUACUGUCUGUUACCAGCAGGUCUUCGGACGCUGGGGACUCAGGCAGAACUGCCGGUGACAAACCGGAGGAAGGUGGGGAUGACGUCAAGUCAUCAUGGCCCUUAUGUCCUGGGCUACACACGUGCUACAAUGGUCGGUACAAAGCGUUGCGAGACGGUGACGUCCUUAGCAAAUCGCAAAAAGCCGAUCUCAGUUCGGAUUGGAGUCUGAAACCCGACUCCAUGAAGUUGGAAUCGCUAGUAAUCGCGCAUCAGAAUGGCGCGGUGAAUAUGUUCCCGGGCCUUGUACACACCGCCCGUCACACCACCCGAGUUGGGGGUACCCGAAGUCGCUAGUCUAACUUUUCGGAGAGGACGGCGCCGAAGGUAUGUCCGGUAAGGGGGGUGAAGUCGAAACAAGGUA